CCAGAGGGUUGGGCGAUCGCCGCCGCGCAAGCGGGGGAGGAAAGUCCGGGCUCCACGGAAACCACGGUGCCGGAUAACGUCCGGCGGCUCCGGGAAGCCGGAGCAAGGGAAAGUGCCACAGAGAGAAGACCGCCAAAGGCUUCGGCCCGGCGAAAGGUGAAAGGGUGCGGUAAGAGCGCACCGCGCGGACGGCAACGGACGCGGCACGGCAAACCCCACCGGGAGCAAGGUCGAAUAGGGAUGGCACGAGGCAACUCAGGGCUGGUUCCGGCCCCGCCGUCCGGGUUGACUGCUUGAGCGUCCGGGCAACCGGUCGCCUAGAGGAAUGAUCGCCCAUCCCCCGUCAAACGGGGUGGACAGAACCCGGCUUACAGACCCUCUGGCAUU
rnacentral:RNase_P_RNA from 1 species